AAGCGAAACAGUGAUGUGGAGCAAAACUCAAAAAAAUAAGUCUCAGUUCGGAUUGAAGGCUGAAAUUCGCCUUCAUGAAGCCGGAAUUGCUAGUAAUGGCAGGUCAGCAUACUGCCGUGAAUACGUUCCCGGGCCUUGUACACACCGCCCGUCACACCACGGAAGUUGGGGGCGCCCGAAGCCACUUAGCUAACCCUUUUGGGAAGCGAGUGUCGAAGGUGAAAUCAAUAACUGGGGUGAAGUCGUAACAAGGUAAC
rnacentral:rRNA from 1 species